rnacentral:rRNA from 1 species
GCUUAACACAUGCAAGUCGAGGGGCAGCAUGGUCUUAGCUUGCUAAGGCCGAUGGCGACCGGCGCACGGGUGAGUAACACGUAUCCAACCUGCCGUCUACUCUUGGACAGCCUUCUGAAAGGAAGAUUAAUACAAGAUGGCAUCAUGAGUCCGCAUGUUCACAUGAUUAAAGGUAUUCCGGUAGACGAUGGGGAUGCGUUCCAUUAGAUAGUAGGCGGGGUAACGGCCCACCUAGUCUUCGAUGGAUAGGGGUUCUGAGAGGAAGAUCCCCCACAUUGGAACUGAGACACGGUCCAAACUCCUACGGGAGGCAGCAGUGAGGAAUAUUGGUCAAUGGGCGAGAGCCUGAACCAGCCAAGUAGCGUGAAGGAUGACUGCCCUAUGGGCUGUAAACUUCUUUUAUAAAGGAAUAAAGUCGGGUAUGGAUACCCGUUUGCAUGUACUUUAUGAAUAAGGAUCGGCUAACUCCGUGCCAGCAGCCGCGGUAAUACGGAGGAUCCGAGCGUUAUCCGGAUUUAUUGGGUUUAAAGGGAGCGUAGAUGGAUGUUUAAGUCAGUUGUGAAAGUUUGCGGCUCAACCGUAAAAUUGCAGUUGAUACUGGAUAUCUUGAGUGCAGUUGAGGCAGGCGGAAUUCGUGGUGUAGCGGUGAAAUGCUUAGAUAUCACGAAGAACUCCGAUUGCGAAGGCAGCCUGCUAAGCUGCAACUGACAUUGAGGCUCGAAAGUGUGGGUAUCAAACAGGAUUAGAUACCCUGGUAGUCCACACGGUAAACGAUGAAUACUCGCUGUUUGCGAUAUACGGCAAGCGGCCAAGCGAAAGCGUUAAGUAUUCCACCUGGGGAGUACGCCGGCAACGGUGAAACUCAAAGGAAUUGACGGGGGCCCGCACAAGCGGAGGAGCAUGUGGUUUAAUUCGAUGAUACGCGAGGAACCUUACCCGGGCUUAAAUUGCAGAUGAAUUACGGUGAAAGCCGUAAGCCGCAAGGCAUCUGUGAAGGUGCUGCAUGGUUGUCGUCAGCUCGUGCCGUGAGGUGUCGGCUUAAGUGCCAUAACGAGCGCAACCCUUGUUGUCAGUUACUAACAGGUUCCGCUGAGGACUCUGACAAGACUGCCAUCGUAAGAUGUGAGGAAGGUGGGGAUGACGUCAAAUCAGCACGGCCCUUACGUCCGGGGCUACACACGUGUUACAAUGGGGGGUACAGAGGGCCGCUACCACGCGAGUGGAUGCCAAUCCCAAAAACCUCUCUCAGUUCGGACUGGAGUCUGCAACCCGACUCCACGAAGCUGGAUUCGCUAGUAAUCGCGCAUCAGCCACGGCGCGGUGAAUACGUUCCCGGGCCUUGUACACACCGCCCGUCAAGCCAUGGGAGCCGGGGGUACCUGAAGUGCGUAACCGCGAGGAGCGCCCUAGGGUAAAACUGGUGACUGGGGCUAAGUC